rnacentral:lncRNA from 1 species
GUUUCCAUUGCUGGCGGCGUGGAUGCAAGAGUUUGCAGAUUCUCCCAUAAUCAAAGACAACUGGCCACCUCGAGACAAGAUGAUUGCCAAGUUCCAGGCCCUUCGUGAUGCCAAACUUGCAGCAGCAGCAUCUAAAUGAACCGCCUUCCUGAAAUAGCAUAAAUAAGAAUCAAUUAAUUUCUGAUGUGUCAUGAUUCACAUCAAUAUGUGUCUGUCUGCAACUGAAAUUAAAUUUCUGAUACAAAAUACUCUCAGUAUUGUGUUGAAUCCGGCAUCCAUGAGAUCUAAGAUUAAAACUCCUCAAAACAGUUUGAUAUAAACUUUUUUUUUUUUUUUUUGGUAAUGGUAGAACAUGGCACUGGAUAGCGACCUCUCCAAGUCAAAGUCCAAUCAAACACAAUAAAAUAUCCAUAGGAUAAGAAACAAAUUGCUGACCACAAUUAGCAUUGUGUACCAACAACUGCUGCAGUAGCAACGAAUAUCCAAACACAAAAGAGUGUUGUUUGAAUAGAUUUAAUUUAUUGCAAAUGUCUCCAUUAGUAUAAGAUUGCUCGUGUUAUUUAUAUAAACUAUUAUUAUAAGUAUCAACACAUAAAGAUAUUUGUAAUUCAAUGGUCUAUUUUAUUAGACUAAAUUAUAAAAUGUCAGUGACGUGUAUUUAAAAUAUUUAUAGAAUUUUCAUAAUUUCUAUUCAAAUUUUACUCUUUACAAUAUUUAAUAUAAAUACAAUCAUUUUCUAAUUGUAUUUUGUAUAUCUUAAAAAAUAAAUAUUUUACGAUCAUUUUAAUUUAUUUCAUAAUUAUUCUUAUAUGAUGCCAAUGAGCGUAAUUUACAAAUAAAUAUAUUUUAUUAUUGAUGGUAUAUCUAACAUUCUAUUACUUUGUAGUUCUUUUCUAAUAAUUCCUUUUGGAGAGAAAAUUAAGAGAUCAUUACUAUAUUUUUGAAAUAUUUUAAGUAUAUAAAAGUAAUUAUUUUCUAAUAGUUCCUUUUGGAGAGAAAUCAUGAAGCAUCAUUAAUAUAUUAUUGAAAAUUUUAAUUUUUUUUUUAUAAUUACUUUAAUUUUUUCUUAAUUUUUUAUCACAUCAUACAAAUAAAUAUUAAUUCAAUGUUUAGUUAAUUUGAUCCUUAGUAUGUACAUGGUAGGAAAUUGUUGUUUUUUUAAUUGUUUUGAGAUUUUAUGAGCUAUUUUUAUAAGCUUAUGGCUAUCAUAUUGUGGACCCACGUUUUUCACGCGCCUCCUCACUUGAACGGCAAGACCCACUUUUUUAUUUCUGAAAAUUUGAUUCUUUGAAAAAAAAACUAAACACUUAGAGUAGUCAUUUAUUUUAUUUUAUUUUAUUUUUAAUAGAAAACAUAAUAAGAAAUAAAACUUUAUAUGACUCCUUAUUUAGAAAAAACACGUCUUUAAAAACAAAAGUUUAGAUUUAGGAAUUAGGUUACCUAUUGAAAAGAUAUAGUGGUGAGUCAUAACAUUGCUCUAAGCUCGUAUAUAUACUACCUCUACUAAACUAAUGGAGGAAAUUGUGACAAUUAAUUAAUUAAUCAUAGAUACCAAGAUUAAGGACAUAAAUCAAUAUACAUAAAAAUGACGAUAAAAUCAAAUUAUAGGAACGUACAAAAUAAAUGAUAAGAGAAUUGUGCAAAUUGAUUUAUCAAACUAAUUAAAAAAAUAUUUCAAAAAAAUAAUUUUUUAAGAAAUUCCAAAGAAGUUUAUUAAAAAUAAUUUCAAAUAAAUGAUUUCAAUUUAUUUAUUUUCCAAUAAGUGAUUAAUUCAAUUUUAUUUGUAUUCGAUUUUUAUUUUUAACAAAGUUAUUUGCACUUGUUUUAUCAAAAUUAUUUUUUUUUAUAAAAUUUCAAUUUGGCAAUAAAGCUUAUUUUUACUUGCUUUUAUUAGAAAAAAGAAAGAAUUUUUACAAAAUUAUUUAAAAAAUAUUUCAAUUUGAUUUUAUUUACAAAGGAAUUAAUUUCUUUACAAAGAUAAUAUUUUCAAUCCAAUUUUAUUAAGAAAAUGAUUUCUACAACUUCAAUUUGCAAAAAAAAAAAAUGAUUCUCAUUCUAUUCUUAUUAAAAAGAUUAUUUAAAACCUUUAUUUACAAAAAUUACUUUUAGUCACAUUCUAAUUAAAGAAAGAGAACUUAUUUCAAAAAUCAUUUUUUUGGAUAAUUUUAUUAAAAAGUAACAUUUUGGGCAAUUUUAUUUAAAAAUCCAUUUUCUGAACAAUUGUUAUUAAACAAAUAAAUUUUUGGACAAUUAUUAUUAAAAAAAAUUUCAAUUUAGUUAAAAAAACAAUUUUUUGAAUUUUCCUAAAAACAUCUUUUUGAAUUUUUAUUAAGAAAACUUUCUUUUAUUAAAAAAUGAAUUUUAUUAACCAUUAUUUUUAUUAAAAAAUAAUUAUUGAACUAUUUAUUUUAUUAAAAAAAAAUUUAUGAGCUAUCAAAUGUUCAAUUCUGUACACACACAAUAAAUAUAUACAAAAAAAUAAAAUAUUUAUAGGAAUCAAUAGAAGAAAAACUAAUUAGAAGUGAAAAAUAAAAUGUGUACUCAAACAAACUAACAACAAGCUCAAUGUUCUCCUAUAGCUUUUCGAGUCUUAUUUUCUUCCAUGAAAUUCAACGCUUCACGUGUUAUAAAUUCGUACUCAACCAAUAGAAUGUCAAUAGAGUAUUGAAAUGAGCCCAUGUAAAAACAAAAAUAAGUCAAAGAUAAAUAUUCAGAAAUGUACAAAGCCCAAAACAAAUAUUUAAGUCCAAAUUCAAACUUCAAAUUAGUCCAAUAAAUUUCACCAAUUAAAAUAAACCCAAAUUAACAAAUAUAACCCAAUAGAAAUAUCCCACAUUCCAUAAGCCCCAUCCAAAAAUUUUAAAUUAAUAACCAAAAUAUAAGUAGAACCUAAUAAACCCAAAAUAUGAUAAAUUAAAAUAAAUUUAACUCUACCUAAUUUAAUAUCCCAUAAUCCAAAAAAAAUGAGCCCAAUUUAAUACGUAAACCCUAAUCCACAACAAAAAUCGAGUCAAUUUAACAUGAAAAGCCCAAAAUAAUAUCCAAAAUAUACCACAAUUGUCUUGCUCCCAAAUAAAUAAUUCAAAUGGGCAAAGCCCAUAUUAAUUAUCAAUCUAUCCAACAAAUUUCACCAACUUUCAUAUUAAUUAACAAAACCAAAAUAUGACAAAUCAAAAUAAAUUCAAUAUCCCAUAUUCCAAAUAAAUGAGCCCAAUUAAAUAUCAAGUAAAAAAUACAAGCCUAAAAUCCAAGAAUAACAACAUAAAAACAACAAUAAACCCAAUCAAACAUUCCAAUAGCACAAUAUCCAUGGACCUAAAUCACUAAAUAAAUCCAAAUUGAAGUCUACAAACAUGCCCACAAUUAGAAUCAAUUAGUGUGCAAACCAAAUUUUUUUUAAAAAAAGUAAAAAAUAAAAAUAAAAUAAAGUAAAAAGGAAAUUUACCCAUUUUUUGAAGAACUAUGGAUGGCCGGAGUUGCUAGUCGGUAAUGACUGGCCGAUUGUGGCUGGCAGUGAUAGUGAAGGAUGGUGGAUGGAGAAAAACUAAGGGAAAAUGAAGAAAAGAAAUGGGAGUGACAGAUAGAGAGAGAGAUGAAAAGAAAGGAAAGGAAAACAAAAUAAAAGAAGAAAAGAAGAGAAAAAAAAAAGUUGGAGGGAAGAGUCUUUUGGCCAUCUGGCUGGGGAGUAGAGGAGGAAGAAGAAUGGAAGAAAAAAUGGGGAAGCCAAAAGGAAAGAAAAGGAAGAGAAAAAAAAAAAGUUAGGUAUGG